UGCCGGACAUCCUGUUUCAUUUCAGGAUGCAGCAAACGAUUCGUCAAGGAUAUGUAUCCAGAUACUACUUAUAAAAUGAGGAGCUUAGCACAACAAUCAGUUAGUCACUUACUACAAGCCCAGGUAAUUAAUUCCAUUUUAAAUAAACCGGGUUCAGUGAAGACACGGAAAACCAAUCUGAAACUUGCAUCCAAGAAUCUUUUCAUUCAUAUGCUGUGCGGCGAUGACUCGAAUAUACCAGACGAAUGGAAGAUUGAGAAUCACAGUAAGCGGAUUGUGUAACGUAGUUUGCUUGACCUACAAAAUACCUUAAAAUCCUUUUCUCGCAAUAUUUUAAUUGACAAUCAUUCAACGGCAAUUCGAACCGCCAUCAGUCUGGAAUACGCAACUACUCCAAUAAGUUUUUGUUUAGCCAGAAAAUAUACUCUGGGGCAGCCCAGCUGCGAUGCUUGUAUUGAAACAAAAAAAAUAAUAAUAAACGUGAAUAUAAUUAUCAAAGUAAAGGGAUAAUAUAAAGCGAGGCUAGUAAUAUCAGAUAUUGUUGAGGCACAAUCAUUGUGGCUUGCAUCAAUAAGCUCAAUGCAGUCCGAGUUUGUGUAUAAAAAAAAUAAAUAAAAUGGUGAGGAAUACGCAUUAGAAAUCAUUCAACGGUCACCAUUAUCGGAUGUUAUAUUUUAUUUUCACAACUGUAUAUUGUAUCUAAAAUAUGCGUGUAGCGAUGAAAACGAGACAUGAAUUCUGAACAUAUUCUAUUAAACAUGACAAUACGAUUUUACAAUCGUGCUUUGAUGAGUAUUAACGAUACAGUAAAUACCUAUAAGACGUGGAA